UACGUAGGGUGCGAGCGUUGUCCGGAAUUACUGGGCGUAAAGAGCUCGUAGGUGGUUUGUCACGUCGUCUGUGAAAUUCCGGGGCUUAACCUCGGGCGUGCAGGCGAUACGGGCAAUACUUGAGUGCUGUAGGGGAGACUGGAAUUCCUGGUGUAGCGGUGAAAUGCGUAGAUAUUCGGAGGAACACCAGUGGCGAAGGCGACUUUCUGGACUGUACCUGACGCUGAGGCGCGAAAGCGUGGGGAGCGAACAGGAUUAGAUACCCGCGUAGU
rnacentral:rRNA from 1 species